CUGAUUAAAGAUACUGGAGGGAAAAAAAAAGAAAAGAUACUAUUGCUCCUCCCUGGAGGAGGCAAAGUGCCAAUUGCCGAAGGUGAGUGUGGCCUGCAAGGGGAGGAUAUGGGUUCAGUUACAGUUCUACCACUGAUGCUCAUGGACAUGAAUUUAAACAAGUCUUUACUCCUCUCUGGACAUAAGUUUUUUUGUUUUGUUUUGUUUUAAUCUUAUACAAUGAAGAUAGGAAUUCAAAUUAGACAUUAGAUUUCUGUCAUCCACAACAACUAUUGUACUGGUACAGGGAAGCCUAAGAAGAAUUGGAAGUGAUCCUCUACUACUGACCUCAAAGCAAGUAAAUAGAGUAGGGUUUAUUAAAUGAGUCUUAUUUUCCUAAUAGUUUCCAAUAAAACACUGGAAAUUGUAGGUUGAAUGGUGUACCCCCAAAAUUCAAGUCUACCAGAACCUCAGAACAGUGAUCGGGUUAGUCACUCAGUUGUGUCUGACUCUGUGAUCCCAUGGACUGUAGCCCGCCAGGCUCCUCUGUCCAUGGCAUUCUCCAGGCAAGAAUUGUGGAGUGGGUAGCCAUUCCCCCUUUCAGGGGAUCUUCCCAACCCAGUGAUUGAACCUGGGUCUCCUGCAUUGCAGGUGGAUUCUUUAUGGUCUGAGCCACCAGGGAAGCCACCAGAUCAUCAGUGUGACCUUUAAGGUCUUUGUAGAUGUAAUUAGGAAGGAUUGAGAUGGGCUUAUACUGAGUUAGGGAGUCCCUAUCUCCAAUGAGAGGGCUUCCUUGGUGGUUUAGACAGUAAAGAAUCUGCUUGUAAUGGAGGAGACCUGGGUUUGAUCUCUGGGUUAGGACAAUCCCCAGGAGAAAAGAGUAGCUACCAGUCUUCUUGCCUGGAGAAUUCAUGGACAGAGGAGCCUGGUGAUCUACAGUCUAUGGGGUCACAAAGAGUCGGACAUGACUGAGUGACUAACACACACACACACACCAAUGAGAGUGACUUUAUGAGACAGAAAAGGACAUAUGGGAUCAACCAGAGAAGAUGAUGUGAAGACAGAAAGAGAUUGGAGUGAUGCAUUUGUAAGCCAAAGAAUGCCAGGAGCCACCAGAAGCUGGAAGAGGCAAGGAAUGAGUCUCUUUAGAGCCCUAGAAAGGAUUGUGGCCCUGCUGACAUCUUGAUUUUGGAUUUCUGGCCUCCAAAGCCAUGAGAGAAUGAAUUUCUGUUGCUUUAAAGCCACCAAAUUUGUGGUAAUUUAUUUCAGCAA
ensembl:lncRNA